CUACUUGGGGCCAUGCGGGGUUGUUGUGGCAGCAAAUGUCCAAAUCGUCUUCCUCCCAUCUUCUGUGGGUGGUUCUCAAAUGUAAUGAAUGAUAAAAGAAUGACCCAAAAGUCACGAUGGCAGCUUUACAGCAACAGAAGAUUUCUCUGUAAGACUACUUGUCCUCACUUUCAAGUGUGUUUGCUCUCUCUGACCCAUGGAAAUACUGAGCUUUGAUUAAAAAGAGGAAAUAGGGAAGUUGACACUAUAAACUUUGACUUGGUUUAAAAUGGUAAAAAAAGUAUUUUGAAGAAUAUUUUGCUGCUUGAAUGCUGACUAAAACUAGACUGACCUUUCUCUGGGAAAUUCAAACAAACAAAAAAUAAUAAUAAAAUAAAAGGGAAGAAACAAAAAAUAAAACAGCAAACUUCAGAAAUUCCCUUCAGAAGGGAUUUUUUUUUAAAGGUAACAAUUAUAAAACUAUCAAAAAUGUCUCUCUUCAAGGCUUUCAGGAGGAAGAAUUGCUGGAGAAGUACAGACUCCGAUACCUAUGAGUCACUUCUCCUCUUCCUACUGUGGGACCCCAUCCUGCCCUUGAACCCUGGCAGCCUGUGGCCAUGAGUUUUUUUUUGCUCACAUUCCAAGUCUGGGAAAACUGAAGCUUUUUCAGCCCACAGUUUUAAUGACUGCUCAGCUUAUCAGAGAGAAUGGAGAGGGUGACCUGGCAGGAAAGCAGCUGGUGCCCUGCUGGAUCCCCUGCAAGGAACUGGAAAAACAUCUUCCCCCAUGGAAAGGUCUGGUUUGCCUUGAUCUUAGAGUCCACCCCCAGAAGCGGUUCUCCACCUUACAGACAAGGCUUCAGCACCGCCCACCUCUACCGCCUUCACCUGACUGCAAAACCUUCACCCCUGCAAAACCAUGGCUAUUGGGUUCCUGGGCCUCACACACCACCACCAAGGUUAAAUCCAUUAAUACUGGGAGGUCUAAUCAGAAUGCACGAUGUGCUACACAAAUGGCCAGGCUUGAAUAAUUUGUCAACAUAUUUGUCAUUUCUCAUCUUUUUAAACAUGCUGCACGUUCAGGCAUUUGAAUUCUAGCCUGGUGGUCUAAGAAGUGGUCAUAUAUAAGAGAUGAAAUUUUGAAGAAAAGAGUUCCAGUUCACUGAAGAAUUCAAACACAUGCUUUGAUUGACAGUGCAAAUGCCUUGAAACAGUUAAUGCUGGAUGAGAUAUUUGUGGAGCAGACAAAUGUUCAUAAGGAAGAAACUCAACGUGAAAAUGCUCGGUGAAAGCAAGCUAUUUCCCAGACAGGUGUCACUGGGAGAAGACCUCUGCUAUGGGCUAUUUCCCACCAGUUCGUUGGCUUGGCUGACGGGACACUGAAGCUUUAGAGAACUGCAGUUUCUGCACUAUGCAGCUCCUUUCAAAGCAGGACAGGAGCCCUGAGGGGGUUCGUGCUCCUUAGAAGCCCUGGGAGUUUUAGAAACCCCUGGGAAGGUUGGUUCAGCUCUGCAGCUGAGUGUCUGGACACUGUUAAGUCCUUGGCUCGUGCUAGAGUUAUCAGGGCUCCCAGGGUCUCUGCAUGAAAGAGUUUCCUCUAGACAGAGGUGAGAGGGAACCAGGUGCCUGCAAGCCCUGGAAGUGAGUGAGUGAAUCAGCUGCCUCUGGGAACACACUCUCUGGAGCGUAAGCACUCUGAAUAUGUGUGACAAAAUGAUUAAAUUAUAUCUAAAUGAGACCCUGUCUGACUUUCCCUAGGUAAAUUGAAUGACUAUCCUUCAUGCUGAAAGAGAUUCCCUUCUCACCCCGAAGUGGCUGUAUUUAUCAUGGAUCAGACGUUCUGAAUUUUGAAUAGUGAUACUUAUAAAAUUCAUAUUGAAAAUAAAACCUUUUUUAAUUUUA